AUACGGAGGAUGCGAGCGUUAUCCGGAUUUAUUGGGUUUAAAGGGAGCGUAGGUGGGAUAUUAAGUCAGCUGUGAAAGUUUGGGGCUCAACCUUAAAAUUGCAGUUGAUACUGGUUUCCUUGAGUACGGUACAGGUGGGCGGAAUUCGUGGUGUAGCGGUGAAAUGCUUAGAUAUCACGAAGAACUCCGAUCGCGAAGGCAGCUCACCGGGCCGGAACUGACACUGAUGCUCGAAAGUGCGGGUAUCAAACAGGAUUAGAUACCCUGGUAGUCCGCACAGUAAACGAUGAAUACUCGCUGUUUGCGAUACACUGUAAGCGGCCAAGCGAAAGCGUUAAGUAUUCCACCUGGGGAGUACGACCGCAAGGUUGAAACUCAAAGGAAUUGGCGGGG
rnacentral:rRNA from 1 species